rnacentral:rRNA from 1 species
UUCAUUACCGAGUUUACAACUCCCAAACCCCUGUGAACAUACCAAUUGUGCCUCGGCGGAUCAGCCCGCUCCCGGUAAAAACGGGACGGCCCGCCAGAGGACCCCUAAACUCUGUUUCUAUAUGUAACUUCUGAGUAAAACCAUAAAUAAAUCAAAACUUUCAACAACGGAUCUCUUGGUUCUGGCAUCGAUGAAGAACGCAGCAAAAUGCGAUAAGUAAUGUGAAUUGCAGAAUUCAGUGAAUCAUCGAAUCUUUGAACGCACAUUGCGCCCGCCAGUAUUCUGGCGGGCAUGCCUGUUCGAGCGUCAUUUCAACCCUCAAGCCCCCGGGUUUGGUGUUGGGGAUCGGCGAGCCCUUGCGGCAAGCCGGCCCCGAAAUCUAGUGGCGGUCUCGCUGCAGCUUCCAUUGCGUAGUAGUAAAACCCUCGCAACUGGUACGCGGCGCGGCCAAGCCGUUAAACCCCCAACUUCUGAAUGUUGACCUCGGAUCAGGUAGGAAUACCCGCUGAACUUAAGCAUAU